UUGACAUGCAGAGAAUUUCCAGAGAUGGAUUGGUGCCUUCGGGAACUCUGACACAGGUGCUGCAUGGCCGUCGUCAGCUCGUGUCGUGAGAUGUUGGGUUAAGUCCGUAACGAGCGCAACCCUUGUCCUUAGUUACCAGCACGUUAUGGUGGGCACUCUAAGGAGACUGCCGGUGCAAACCGGAGGAAGGUGGGGAUGACGUCAAGUCAUCAUGGCCCUUACGGCCUGGGCUACACACGUGCUACAAUGGUCGGUACAAAGGGUUGCCAAGCCGCGAGGUGGAGCUAAUCCCAUAAAACCGAUCGUAGUCCGGAUCGCAGUCUGCAACUCGACUGCGUGAAGUCGGAAUCGCUAGUAAUCGUGAAUCAGAACUGUCACGGUCGAAUACGUUCCCGGGACCUUAG
rnacentral:rRNA from 1 species